GGGUUGUGAGGUUAAGCGACCAAGCGUACACGGUGGAUGCCCUGGCAGUCAGAGGCGAUGAAGGACGUGCUAAUCUGCGAAAAGCGCCGGUAAGGUGAUAUGAACCGUUAUAACCGGCGAUGUCCGAAUGGGGAAACCCAGUGUGACUCGUCACAUUAUCAUUAACUGAAUCCAUAGGUUAAUGAGGCGAACCGGGGGAACUGAAACAUCUAAGUACCCCGAGGAAAAGAAAUCAACCGAGAUUCCCCCAGUAGCGGCGAGCGAACGGGGAGGAGCCCAGAGCCUGAAUCAGCAUGUGUGUUAGUGGAAGCGUCUGGAAAGGCGCGCGAUACAGGGUGAGAGCCCCGUACACAAAAGCGCACAUGUUGUGAGCUCGAUGAGUAGGGCGGGACACGUGGUAUCCUGUCUGAAUAUGGGGGGACCAUCCUCCAAGGCUAAAUACUCCUGACUGACCGAUAGUGAACCAGUACCGUGAGGGAAAGGCGAAAAGAACCCCGGCGAGGGGAGUGAAACAGAACCUGAAACCGUGUACGUACAAGCAGUGGGAGCCUCUCUUUAUGGGGGGUGACUGCGUACCUUUUGUAUAAUGGGUCAGCGACUUAUAUUCUGUAGCAAGGUUAACCGCAUAGGGGAGCCGAAGGGAAACCGAGUCUUAACCGGGCGUUAAGUUGCAGGGUAUAGACCCGAAACCCGGUGAUCUAGCCAUGGGCAGGUUGAAGGUUGGGUAACACUAACUGGAGGACCGAACCGACUAAUGUUGAAAAAUUAGCGGAUGACCUGUGGCUGGGGGUGAAAGGCCAAUCAAACCGGGAGAUAGCUGGUUCUCCCCGAAAGCUAUUUAGGUAGCGCCUCGUGAACUCAUCUCCGGGGGUAGAGCACUGUUUCGGCUAGGGGGCCAUCCCGGCUUACCAACCCGAUGCAAACUGCGAAUACCGGAGAAUGUUAUCACGGGAGACACACGGCGGGUGCUAACGUCCGUCGUGAAGAGGGAAACAACCCAGACCGCCAGCUAAGGUCCCAAAGUCAUGGUUAAGUGGGAAACGAUGUGGGAAGGCCCAGACAGCCAGGAUGUUGGCUUAGAAGCAGCCAUCAUUUAAAGAAAGCGUAAUAGCUCACUGGUCGAGUCGGCCUGCGCGGAAGAUGUAACGGGGCUAAACCAUGCACCGAAGCUGCGGCAGCGACACUUUAGUGUUGUUGGGUAGGGGAGCGUUCUGUAAGCCGUUGAAGGUGUCCUGUGAGGGGUGCUGGAGGUAUCAGAAGUGCGAAUGCUGACAUAAGUAACGAUAAAGCGGGUGAAAAGCCCGCUCGCCGGAAGACCAAGGGUUCCUGUCCAACGUUAAUCGGGGCAGGGUGAGUCGACCCCUAAGGCGAGGCCGAAAGGCGUAGUCGAUGGGAAACGGGUUAAUAUUCCCGUACUUGGUGUUACUGCGAAGGGGGGACGGAGAAGGCUAUGUUGGCCGGGCGACGGUUGUCCCGGUUUAAGCGUGUAGGUGUGUGUUCCAGGUAAAUCCGGUUCACUUUAACACUGAGGCGUGAUGACGAGGCACCACGGUGCUGAAGCAACAAAUGCCCUGCUUCCAGGAAAAGCCUCUAAGCAUCAGGUAACAUCAAAUCGUACCCCAAACCGACACAGGUGGUCAGGUAGAGAAUACCAAGGCGCUUGAGAGAACUCGGGUGAAGGAACUAGGCAAAAUGGUGCCGUAACUUCGGGAGAAGGCACGCUGACACGUAGGUGAAGUGAUUUACUCAUGGAGCUGAAGUCAGUCGAAGAUACCAGCUGGCUGCAACUGUUUAUUAAAAACACAGCACUGUGCAAACACGAAAGUGGACGUAUACGGUGUGACGCCUGCCCGGUGCCGGAAGGUUAAUUGAUGGGGUCAGCGCAAGCGAAGCUCCUGAUCGAAGCCCCGGUAAACGGCGGCCGUAACUAUAACGGUCCUAAGGUAGCGAAAUUCCUUGUCGGGUAAGUUCCGACCUGCACGAAUGGCGUAAUGAUGGCCAGGCUGUCUCCACCCGAGACUCAGUGAAAUUGAACUCGCUGUGAAGAUGCAGUGUACCCGCGGCAAGACGGAAAGACCCCGUGAACCUUUACUAUAGCUUGACACUGAACAUUGAGCCUUGAUGUGUAGGAUAGGUGGGAGGCUUUGAAGCGUGGACGCCAGUCUGCGUGGAGCCGACCUUGAAAUACCACCCUUUAAUGUUUGAUGUUCUAACGUGGACCCGUAAUCCGGGUUGCGGACAGUGUCUGGUGGGUAGUUUGACUGGGGCGGUCUCCUCCUAAAGAGUAACGGAGGAGCACGAAGGUUGGCUAAUCCUGGUCGGACAUCAGGAGGUUAGUGCAAUGGCAUAAGCCAGCUUGACUGCGAGCGUGACGGCGCGAGCAGGUGCGAAAGCAGGUCAUAGUGAUCCGGUGGUUCUGAAUGGAAGGGCCAUCGCUCAACGGAUAAAAGGUACUCCGGGGAUAACAGGCUGAUACCGCCCAAGAGUUCAUAUCGACGGCGGUGUUUGGCACCUCGAUGUCGGCUCAUCACAUCCUGGGGCUGAAGUAGGUCCCAAGGGUAUGGCUGUUCGCCAUUUAAAGUGGUACGCGAGCUGGGUUUAGAACGUCGUGAGACAGUUCGGUCCCUAUCUGCCGUGGGCGCUGGAAGAUUGAGGGGGGCUGCUCCUAGUACGAGAGGACCGGAGUGGACGCAUCACUGGUGUUCGGGUUGUCAUGCCAAUGGCACUGCCCGGUAGCUAAAUGCGGAAAAGAUAAGUGCUGAAAGCAUCUAAGCACGAAACUUGCCCCGAGAUGAGUCUUCCCUGAGACUUUGAGUCUCCUGAAGGAACGUUAAAGACGAUGACGUUGAUAGGCCGGGUGUGUAAGCGCAGCGAUGCGUUGAGCUAACCGGUACUAAUGAACCGUGAGGCUUAACCUUACAACGCCGAAGCUGUU
rnacentral:rRNA from 1 species